rnacentral:rRNA from 1 species
AGCGAACGCUGGCGGCAGGCUUAACACAUGCAAGUCGAGCGGGGUCCUUCGGGGUCAGCGGCGGACGGGUGAGUAACGCGUGGGAACGUGCCUUCUGGUUCGGAAUAACCCUGGGAAACUAGGGCUAAUACCGGAUACGCCCUUUUGGGGAAAGGUUUACUGCCGGAAGAUCGGCCCGCGUCUGAUUAGCUAGUUGGUGGGGUAACGGCCUACCAAGGCGACGAUCAGUAGCUGGUCUGAGAGGAUGAUCAGCCACACUGGGACUGAGACACGGCCCAG